rnacentral:rRNA from 1 species
GAGUUUGAUCUUGGCUCAGAUUGAACGCUGGCGGCAGGCCUAACACAUGCAAGUCGAGCGGUAGAGAGAAGCUUGCUUCUCUUGAGAGCGGCGGACGGGUGAGUAAUGCCUAGGAAUCUGCCUGGUAGUGGGGGAUAACGCUCGGAAACGGACGCUAAUACCGCAUACGUCCUACGGGAGAAAGCAGGGGACCUUCGGGCCUUGCGCUAUCAGAUGAGCCUAGGUCGGAUUAGCUAGUUGGUGAGGUAAUGGCUCACCAAGGCGACGAUCCGUAACUGGUCUGAGAGGAUGAUCAGUCACACUGGAACUGAGACACGGUCCAGACUCCUACGGGAGGCAGCAGUGGGGAAUAUUGGACAAUGGGCGAAAGCCUGAUCCAGCCAUGCCGCGUGUGUGAAGAAGGUCUUCGGAUUGUAAAGCACUUUAAGUUGGGAGGAAGGGCAGUAAAUUAAUAACUUUGCUGUUUUGACGUUACGACUAGAAUAAGCACCGGCUAACUCUGUGCCAGCCGCCG